CAAGGAUUUAAGUUAAAUUAAACUAACAACCUUCAAAGUUGUAAACAGAGAAACCCCCCUUCUUUAAGCCUU
rnacentral:tRNA from 1 species